GGGGUUGUGGCUCAGAGGUAGAGCACUUGCCUACCAUGCAUGAGACACUGGGUUCGAUCCUCAGCACCA
rnacentral:tRNA from 1 species